GAUGAACGCUGGCGGCGUGCCUAAUACAUGCAAGUCGAGCGAACAGAUGAGGAGCUUGCUCCUCUGACGUUAGCGGCGGACGGGUGAGUAACACGUGGAUAACCUACCUAUAAGACUGGGAUAACUUCGGGAAACCGGAGCUAAUACCGGAUAAUAUAUUGAACCGCAUGGUUCAAUAGUGAAAGACGGUUUUGCUGUCACUUAUAGAUGGAUCCGCGCCGCAUUAGCUAGUUGGUAAGGUAACGGCUUACCAAGGCAACGAUGCGUAGCCGACCUGAGAGGGUGAUCGGCCACACUGGAACUGAGACACGGUCCAGACUCCUAAGGGAGGCAGCAGUAGGGAAUGUUACGCAAUGGGCGAAAGCAUGACGGAGCAACGCCGCGUGAGUGAUGAAGGUGUUCGGAUCGUAAAACUCUGUUAUGAGGGAAGAACAAAUGUGUAAGUAACUAUGCACGUCGUGACGGUACCUAAUCAGAAAGCCACGGCUAACUACGUG
rnacentral:rRNA from 1 species